UGGGGAUAUUAAUACAUAACUAUACGCAGGUGCAUAGGUUAGGUUAUGUCAUCUGUUGUCAGAAAACGUAAGCAUAUUUUCCCCACCCGUGCAAACAUACAUAUACGAAAUUAUAUCAAAGAGGAAAUGAGAGCGCUGACGCUUAUGGUUCCGGUUGUUCCCGAACUAGUGCUACCAACAGCGGCCAAAUGUCGAAUGUUUUUACGCUAGCACAUACAAGAACCUAUAAAGUUAGAAAUGUUCUAUUUUGUUACAAGAGCUUCAUUAUACGGUACCACAGAAAAGUUCAUGCCGAAAUAGACAAAUAUGAAAAUAA